rnacentral:rRNA from 1 species
UAACUUCGGGGAAACCGGAGCUAAUACCGGAUAAUAUUUCGAACCGCAUGGUUCGAUAGUAGAAAGAUGGUUUUGCUAUCACUUAUAGAUGGACCCGCGCCGUAUUAGCUAGUUGGUAAGGUAAACGGCUUACCCAAGGCGACGAUACGUAGCCUACCUGAGAGGGUGAUCGGCCACACUGGAACUGAGACACGGUCCAGACUCCUACGGGAGGCAGCAGUA